UACGUAGGUGGCGAGCGUUGUCCGGAUUUACUGGGCGUAAAGAGCGCGCAGGCGGUCGUUCAAGUCGCGUGUGAAAGCCCCCGGCUCAACUGGGGAGGGUCACGCGAUACUGAUCGACUCGAAGGCAGGAGAGGGAAGUGGAAUUCCCGGUGUAGUGGUGAAAUGCGUAGAUAUCGGGAGGAACACCAGUGGCGAAGGCGGCUCACUGGACCGGAACUGACGCUGAGGCGCGAAAGCGUGGGGAGCAAACGG
rnacentral:rRNA from 1 species